GGGAAGUACGAUCGUAAGACCGAAACUCAAAGGAAUUGACGGGGGCCUGCACAAGCGACAAAGCAUGUGGUUUAAUUCAAUACAACGUGCAAAACCUUACCAGCCCUUGACAUAUGAAUAACGAAACCUAUCCUUAAUAGGAUGGCACUGACUUUAAUACAGGUGCUGGAUGGAUGUCGUCAGCUCGUGCCGUGAGAUGUUUGGUCAAGUUCUAUAACGAGCGAAACCCUCGUUUUGUGUUGCUAAGACAUACGCCUAAGGAGAAAUUGCCACCAAAGUGAACCAAGGAGCCGAGUUACGUGGCAGCGCUACUACAUGAUUGAGUGCGAGCAGAUAGCUGUGCUUUCAGCAAAAAAUUUACCAUUGGGUGAACCGAAGUCGUCUUACCCAGGACCCAUGGAGACCUACAUAUAGUGAAGUCAAAGUACAACUGAGCGUGGAGGUUUGGUCGAAAUUGGUUACGACGACGUCUAGUUGGCGGUGGAGGAAGACUCGGCAUGAAGGCCAGCCUCCCGGUGGUGUGGCACGUAAUGGUAAUGGUACGCGCGCUCCUCCUAAACAAAGAAAAAGGUGUGUAUCGCACUCAUGAUGGACUGCCACACACGUGCGCAUGGCUCUUAUGGGCUGGGCCACACACGUGCUACAGUGGCAAUACAAUGGGAAGCAAGGUUGUAAGGUGUAGUGAAUCCGGAAAUAUUGCCUCAGUUUGGAUUUUUCUUUGCAACUUGGGAUCAUUAAGUUGAAAUAUCUAGUAAUCGCGGAUCAGCAUGCCGCGGUCAAUAUGUACCCGGGCCCUGUACACACUUCCAGUCACACCCUGGUAAUUGGUUUCGCCCGAAGCAUCGGACCAAUGAUCACCCAUGACUUCUAUGUACCACCAGUGCCACAAAGGCCUUUGGUGGUCUUAUCGGCGCAUACCACGGUGGGGUCUUUGACUGGGGUGAAGUCGUAACAAGGUAUCCGUAGGGGAACUUGUGGAUG
rnacentral:rRNA from 16 species